rnacentral:lncRNA from 1 species
GUGAAAGAACGUGGCUUUCUUAAGACAGAAAGUAGCACUGAGAGCCCUUUGUCGUCCUCAGCUGGCUCAACAGCAGACAGACCUUUCUCAUCAAAUCCCUCUACUGGCAGAGAUGAGACUGCCAAUAUACAUUCAGUUCCAGGGCUCCGGCCUGAACCCAGAAAAUCACAUGGUUCGGUAAGAGACAACAAGAAACAUCCCAGUGUUAAUUACAG